AGGUUCCUUCUCUGUUUAUACCAAACGUGUCUGAGCAAGAAAUCGGUGACAAAUACAUUCCUGCCGAGUUCAAGUCGGAUACAGUAGCAAAUACACCAUCAGACCGUGCAGUGAACUGAUAGUCGCCAUGCAAGACCCUGAUGCCGGCGUUGCACUCGGCGAGCACAAGAAUGGACUGAAAACAUACAAAGACUGUUUUGCUGGUUGUGAGUUAAUUGAGUGGUUGUUGUCGUGGUUGUUUGUCACAAUGAGGGAGGAAGGAUGUCAAUUAGCAAACAGUCUGUUGAACGAAGCGUAUCUUGAGCCGGUGGGAGGGUUGAGUUCCAUGAUCAGCAACAUGUUGACCAGUAGGAUGUUUAAUCCAUUCUAAUUCACAUAAAAAUAUCACUAAACAACUAAUCA